rnacentral:rRNA from 1 species
AGUCGAACGGUGAAAGAAGAGCUUGCUCUUCUGGAUCAGUGGCGAACGGGUGAGUAACACGUGAGUAACCUGCCCCAGACUCUGGGAUAAGCACUGGAAACGGUGUCUAAUACCGGAUACGAGCUUCAGCCGCAUGGCUAGGAGCUGGAAAGAAUUUCGGUCUGGGAUGGACUCGCGGCCUAUCAGCUAGUUGGUGAGGUAAUGGCCCACCAAGGCGACGACGGGUAGCCGGCCUGAGAGGGUGACCGGCCACACUGGGACUGAGACACGGCCCAGACUCCUACGGGAGGCAGCAGUGGGGAAUAUUGCACAAUGGGCGCAAGCCUGAUGCAGCAACGCCGCGUGAGGGACGACGGCCUUCGGGUUGUAAACCUCUUUUAGUAGGGAAGAAGCGAAAGUGACGGUACCUGCAGAAAAAGCACCGGCUAACUACGUGCCAGCAGCCGCGGUAAUACGUAGGGUGCAAGCGUUAUCCGGAAUUAUUGGGCGUAAAGAGCUCGUAGGCGGUUUGUCGCGUCUGCUGUGAAAACUGGAGGCUCAACCUCCAGCCUGCAGUGGGUACGGGCAGACUAGAGUGCGGUAGGGGAGAUUGGAAUUCCUGGUGUAGCGGUGGAAUGCGCAGAUAUCAGGAGGAACACCGAUGGCGAAGGCAGAUCUCUGGGCCGUAACUGACGCUGAGGAGCGAAAGCAUGGGGAGCGAACAGGAUUA